CAAUAGCGUAUAUUAAAGUUGUUGCAGUUAAAAAGCUCGUAGUUGGAUUUCUGGGUCAAGCUCCUGGUCCGCCGCUAUGCGGUGCCGACUGUGUGUAGCGUUGAUUCAUCCUUGUGGGAAUUCCAGUUUGGGCUUCGUUGUCCGGCUGGCGGAACCGCAUCUUUUACUGUGAAAAAAUUAGAGUGUUCAAAGCAGGCUUACGCUGUGAAUACAUUAGCAUGGAAUAAUACGAUAGGACUUUGGUUCUAUUUUGUUGGUUGGAGACCAAGGUAAUGAUUAAUAGGGAUAGUUGGGGGUAUUCAUAUUUAAUUGUCAGAGGUGAAAUUCUUGGAUUUAUGAAAGAUGAACUUAUGCGAAAGCAUUUACCAAGGAUGUUUUCAUUAA
rnacentral:rRNA from 1 species